UGGGGAAUUUUGGACAAUGGGCGAAAGCCUGAUCCAGCAAUGCCGCGUGUGUGAAGAAGGCCUUCGGGUUGUAAAGCACUUUUGUCCGGAAAGAAAUCCUUGGCUCUAAUACAGUCGGGGGAUGACGGUACCGGAAGAAUAAGCACCGGCUAACUACGUGCCAGCAGCCGCGGUAAUACGUAGGGUGCAAGCGUUAAUCGGAAUUACUGGGCGUAAAGCGUGCGCAGGCGGUUUGCUAAGACCGAUGUGAAAUCCCCGGGCUCAACCUGGGAACUGCAUUGGUGACUGGCAGGCUAGAGUAUGGCAGAGGGGGGUAGAAUUCCACGUGUAGCAGUGAAAUGCGUAGAGAUGUGGAGGAAUACCGAUGGCGAAGGCAGCCCCCUGGGCCAAUACUGACGCUCAUGCACGAAAGCGUGGGGAGCAAACAGGAUUAGAUACCCUGGUAGUCCACGCCCUAAACGAUGUCAACUAGUUGUUGGGGAUUCAUUUCCUUAGUAACGUAGCUAACGCGUGAAGUUGACCGCCUGGGGAGUACGGUCGCAAGAUUAAAACACAAAGGAAUUGACGGGGUCAUAGCUGUUUCC
rnacentral:rRNA from 1 species